rnacentral:pre_miRNA from 1 species
GUUUGUGUGUGGAUGGUGUUCAGCACCAGGGACAGGCCUGUAUGCCUUUGUUUGGAUCGUGUUCAGCACUAGGCCACAUUUAAGCCU